CAGUAGCGUAUAUUAAAGUUGUUGCAGUUAAAAAGCUCGUAGUUGGAUCUCUGGUUGGAGCGUUGGGCCCGCCCGGGUUACCGGUGUGAGUGCCCGUUCGCUCUUUCCAUCCUUCUAGAAAACGGUUCUCUCCUUCAUUGGUUGCGGGAUCGCGAUCUAGAUCUUUUACUUUGAAAAAUUAGAGUGUUUAAAGCAGGCUUGUGCUAUGAAUACAUUAGCAUGGAAUAAUAAUUUAGGACUUUGGUUCUAUUUUGUUGGUUUCUAGAACUGAAGUAAUGAUUGAUAGGGAUAGUUGGGGGUGCUAGUAUUCAGCGGCCAGAGGUGAAAUUCUUGGAUUCGCUGAAGACUAACUUAUGCGAAAGCAUUUGCCAAGGAUGUUUUCAUUGAUCAAGAACGAAAGUUAGGGGAUCGAAGACGAUUAGAUACCAU
rnacentral:rRNA from 1 species